UUGACCCUUGUGAUGCGCCAUAGUGUAACUAGGAAGAGAAUUGGUUACUAAGUGAAACGGGAAGAGAAAGAAAUGCAAGGAUUUUCUCCAGUUGCAAUCUAACAUAGCCAGCUAAUUUAUAUUUUGUAGAAGGAACGUAGACCGGAGGAGUACUGCAGACUCCUGCCAGACCUGUUGUAGUAGGAGCAGGGGGACCAGAGGCUGGAGAGGGCGGUGGCAGACGCCGCCAGGAAGAAGCAUGUCAUCGAGGAAUAGCUCCAGUUGGAGGUGGUGGGAGGCUGUUUGCUGUCCUGUACAGGGAGAAGUCCCAGCGUGUUUGGGAGAAGUUGGAGGCAGAGUAGGAGAGGAGAGCCAGGGAGAGGCUCAUGCAGGAGGCUCUUGCAGAUGGAGCUCAAGAUGCAGGAGAACCGUCAGGCUCAGAAUGAGUCUCUGAGGAGAGGGCUGAUCCAGGAGCUGGAGAGGCAGACCAGACGCCGAGAGGGAGGAGGAAGAGGGCCAAAAGACGGCUCGGAUACAGGAAUAGCCUGUGUUGACCGGGGUCAGUUGGCCGGGUUAGAUGGAGUGGAGGGAGGACCAAUGAUGUAGCUCAUUGUUCUCCCUCCCCUGCAGGUGGCGCAGUGGGAGGAGCAGCGCCAGAGGGGGCAGGUGAAGGAGAGGGAUGCUCUAAGGCUGCAGGAGGAAAAGCGGAGGCUGGAGACUCGUAGGAUGGCCCAGCAGGGCUACCAGGACAUGAUUUUUAGCAGACCUGAUCAGCCUGGACAUGAGGAUACCGUGAGGCCAAAAGACACUCCUAUCAUGUUUUUAUACAAAAUUAUUCUUAACGGGUUUAAGAUGUGUCAAGUAUUCCUACACCAUGCUUAUAUCAGCUGCUGCAUGUGGUGGUUGUAAGGUAUGUUACAUAUUUAGCAAACUGGUUUAAAGGUGUUAUAAUCCUG